UGCCAGACUCCUACGGGAGGCAGCAGUGGGGAAUAUUGCACAAUGGGCGAAAGCCUGAUGCAGCGACGCCGCGUGAGUGAAGAAGUAUUUCGGUAUGUAAAGCUCUAUCAGCAGGGAAGAAAAUGACGGUACCUGACUAAGAAGCCCCGGCUAACUACGUGCCAGCAGCCGCGGUAAUACGUAGGGGGCAAGCGUUAUCCGGAAUCACUGGGUGUAAAGGGAGCGUAGACGGCUGUGCAAGCCUGAAGUGAAAGGCGGGGGCCCAACCCCCGGACUGCUUUGGGAACUGUACGGCUGGAGUGCAGGAGAGGUAAGUGGAAUUCCUAGUGUAGCGGUGAAAUGCGUAGAUAUUAGGAGGAACACCAGUGGCGAAGGCGGCUUUCUGGACUGAAACUGACGCUGAGGCACGAAAGCGUGGGGAGCGAACAGGAUUAGAUACCCUAGUA
rnacentral:rRNA from 1 species